UAUCUCUGUAGAGUCUGCAUAUCAAUAAGCGGAGGAAAAGAAACUAACAAGGAUUCCCUUAGUAACGGCGAGUGAAGCGGGAAGAGCUCAAAUUUGAAAUCUUCAAGGUUUUACCUUGACGAAUUGUAGUUUAAAGAAGUGUUUUCUGUUGAAGUUUCGGUAAAAGUUCUUUGGAAUAGGACAUCAUAGAGGGUGAGAAUCCCGUAUUUGACCGUUAUUUUCAGCUGUGUGAUACACUUUCAAAGAGUCGGAUUGUUUGGGAAUGCAGUCCAAAAUGGGUGGUAAAUUUCAUCUAAAGCUAAAUAUUGGCGAGAGACCGAUAGCGAACAAGUACCGUGAGGGAAAGAUGAAAAGAACUUUGAAAAGAGAGUUAAACAGUACGUGAAAUUGUCAAAAGGGAAGCGUUUGACACCAGUGUUGUUUUCUACGAAAAUCAAUUAAAAAUGGCUUGAUUUUGUGUUGUAUUGACCUUAAAAGCUUUCUUCACUUUUUUCAUGUCUUUUUUAAUGCACUUUUCGUUUAACGAGUCAACAUCAGUUUCUUUUGUUGUAAAAAGGUCAUUGGAAGGUGGCUUUCUUUUCGGAGAAAGUGUUUAUAGCCUUUGACUCCUGCAAUCGGAGAGACUGAGGUCUGCAGCGUAGAUCCUUCUGGAUUAGAUUCAUUUGUGCUAAGUUACAACCGUUUAUAGACAACUUGUUGACUAUAUUCGAUCCUGUAGCUUACUCGCUUAUGUAAUUUUACCUACGCUUAGGAUGUUGACUGAUAUGUAGUCGUA
rnacentral:rRNA from 1 species